CACUGCAAAAACUCAAAAUCUUGCCAAGUAUAUUUUUCUAAUUUCUAGUCAAAAUAUCUCAGCUCACUUAAUAUAAGACAAAAUUACCUAAAGACCAAGAUUUAAGUAAGAUACAGGAGCUUGUUUUUAGACAGUGCAUCUUGAAUAUCUUGUUAAGUGAAACUGUCUUAAAAAUAUCUUGUUUUGAGUCAUAUCUCAGAUGAAACAAGCUUUUUUGACAUUUUGACAGUUUUUUAAGCUGCUGUGUUAUUUGUAAAAGAUGAAUCGUCUUGUUUCAAGAAACAGACUUAACUUGAAUUGAGACAAAUCUGCUUCAUUGAAAACUGCAGGCCAACAUGCCCAACUCACAACAACUCACAAUGACAUGACAGCAAAAAAAAAAAAAACAAACAAAAAACGUAAUUUAUUUACGUAUAAACAACUUUACCAACAUACAAAUUUGUAUGUAUUCCUAUUUAACUUAUGCAUAUUAAAAUCGUGGUUUUGACUCUAUUGCAUUCAAUUGUCUUAUCAAUUAAAUUUUCAGUCUCAUUUAUUAAUAGUUUAACGUUACUCAUAAAUAAUAACAUUUCGUUCUGUUCGUGCCUUUUGCUGCAAACUCGCUUUGAAGCAUUAGCCUACAUGGUGUUUAACAAUAAUAUACUUUAAAACCUUCCCAUAUGGAAAAGGUUUGCUAAAAACUCCUGUGAUUUGUAUAUGUUCCAACAGAAUAUUGUAAGGGACAUAUGCAAAAACCACAUAUAUAAAUUGCAUAAUAUUAAUGUAUUUUUAAUCAUAUUAUGUAAUAUGUGUCCUACAAACAACUAAAGCAAUAUAGAUUUUCAUGAAGUAAAAACAAAAAAAUGCAAAUUUAAUAUGAAUUUUCAGCAUGGAUGUGUAUAAACAGAGGAAAAGAUAAGAACCAGCAUGAGGGAAGUACAGCCUACUGAUUGAUUUAUUUACUGCACUGAGUCGAGGGGCCUAUGCCUGUAUCAGUCAUGGUUACAUACUGUAUAAUCUGUCUUAGAUUAAAAACAAAACAUUUAAACUACACACACGCAAGCGCACAUUUUAAUUACAAAAUUAUUUUUAUUAGAAUGUGUUCUACAAGAUGCAGUUCCAUAUUUCACAUAUCAAUAGGUUUCAUUUUAUAUCCUGCAUCGAUUUCAUUUUCAUUUUUGACAAUUUCUCUAAACUUUAUCACAGUACUACUAUGGUACAACCUACAAACAAAAAACUUUCCUAAAUGUUGAAGUGUUGAAGUCUUUAUUAACUAAAAUCUCUGAAUAUAAUUUACUCAAUAGUUUGAGUUGAACAUACCGAAAUAAAUGACUAAAACUCCAACAAUUAAUUUUGUCUGAAAUUUACAGUUAUAUUUAAGUUUUUCACUAAAAUAGGCUAAUUUAGUUUUUGACUAACCAAUUAUUAAUUUAAAAUACACUUAGCUAAUAUUUGUGAAAUUUCCAUCACAAUAUUUGAGACUGGAUAAUUAAACUGAUCUGUCUCAAGAACCACAAAUAUUUCUAAAAUAAAAUCAAUAUUAUUAUUUAACACGCAUAAGAAAUUAAUUAAGUUUACUCAAUUAAAAUGUAUUUUACUGUCUAUGAGCACCCCUCCCCACCCUCUGACGUGACGACAACUCAACGGUUGAACUUGAGUGAGCGCUGUUUGAACUUGCGGUUGCGCGCUGUUUGAACUCUCCCAGUCCAGAAAAGAACAGAUCUCUUCUCCUCUUCUCUUCUCAUCGGCGCAGAAUUGGAGCAUUUCCACCUGAAAUUAAGGUUAUGGAGUCAGUCGCGUCGCAGCAUUUUUCGGCUGUGAGUGACGCAGGACGACGGCGGUCUAAAUUUAGAAGUUUCCCCGCAGAGGCGAGUCCAUCUCCGGCAUGGGAACCAGCGCUGACCCGGUGAAUACUGGAUAACAGACCGGUUAUUACACUUGAAUUACUUUAAUGUUUAGGCCUAAAUGUUUAAUUUUUACAUCGAAAAUGUUUCUUACAUGAGUUUAGAUGUAGUCAAUAUUGUAUAACUUAUGUGUUAAAAAUAGAAUAAAAUAUGUUUGCUGUAAUGGUAGGAUAUUAAUUGACAAUAAAGGCCGUGUCAUGUA